AGUUUCCGCGCAGGCGCACUCUCGUACUGUGGCCUGCCUUGGCUUGGGGAACUGAGUCCUCUUCGGAGCCGCUUCGUGGGACGCGGAGUCCCUGAUCCCACGUCCUUCUGCUUUCCGAGUGAGACAAGUACUACCAGUCUUAGAUGUCCUGGAGAAAUGGUACAGAAGACCAGAACUGGAAAACAUUUGGAGUCUUGCAAGUCCAGGGGAAUCAGUUCCCAGAAAAGAACCUUAAAAUGUCAUGAAAUCGUGCCUCUUGGUAAAUUCUCAAGCCACUCUGGUUUUGCCCUCUAGGCUGAAAUUUUUUAACUAGGACAAACACUCUGCCCUCAAUUAUAUAAUAACAGUCCAGGUAUUGAGGAAGACUCCAGAAUGUUUUUGUGGUGGAGAAUAACUGAAUUCACCAGAAUACAUAAACAAACCUAAUAUAUACAUUAAAUCUUGUAACAUUCA